rnacentral:rRNA from 1 species
UAACGCGUAUGCAACCUGUCCGUUACAGGGGGAUAGCCCAUGGAAACGUGGAUUAAUGCUCCAUAAUAUAAUAUAGAGGCAUCUUUAUGUUAUUAAAUAUUUAUAGGUAACGGUUGGGCAUGCGUCCUAUUAGAUAGUUGGGGGGGUAACGGCCCACCAAGUCGAUGAUAGGUAGGGGUUCUGAGAGGAAGGUCCCCCACACUGGUACUGAGACACGGACCAGACUCCUACGGGAGGCAGCAGUGAGGAAUAUUGGUCAAUGGGCGAGAGCCUGAACCAGCCAAGUCGCGUGAGGGAUGACUGCCCUAUGGGUUGUAAACCUCUUUUGUAUGGGGGGAAUAAGCUUUACNAGUAGAGUGAUGACAGUACCAUACGAAUAAGCAUCGGCUAACUCCGUGCCAGCAGCCGCGGUAAUACGGAGGAUGCGAGCGUUAUCCGGAUUUAUUGGGUUUAAAGGGUGCGUAGGCGGCAUUAUAAGUUAGUGGUAAAAUAUUGGGGCUUCACCUCACUACGCCAUUAAUACUGUANAGCUAGAGAACAGACGAGGUAGGCGGAAUAAGUUAAGUAGCGGUGAAAUGCAUAGAUAUAACUUAGAACACCGAUAGCGAAGGCAGCUUACCAGACUGAGUCUGACGCUGAUGCACGAGAGCAUGGGUAGCGAACAGGAUUAGAUACCCUGGUAGUCCAUGCCGU